ACAGGACAAGCGGUAACAUGCACAAGCUGGAGCACAGGAAGAUCCAAAGACUUUGGAUAAUCAACAACUGUGGAUCAAUAAUUUACUGAAAGAAGGGAUUAGAAAGGCACUGAUUUUAGCAGAUUGAGCUGUACCAUUAGUCACAAUGGAGAAGUAGAACUGGCCUGCAACAUCUACAGCACUGAGCAGUGAGGAGCCAUAAUACAAUUCAUGGAAAAAGAAACUACAGUCCAAGUCAGCAGAAAGGUCUCCAGGACAAUGAAAUGCCAAAUAUCUCCCAAUUGUUGUUCUCAAGCAGUUAAAUGGAUUAUGCUCAGUUGUACAUCAAAAGAAAGAAGAAUAUUCUGUUGAUCCUGGAACCCCAGUGAGCAAUGUAAGAGGAAGCACUGAAAAAAUAUGGAAAUCGGGGGAAAUCACACUGUCCUUUGAGAUGUAAAGACAAUCCAACUAAGGUUUAUCAAAUACCUUUCAAUUCCAAAAAACAAAACACCCAAGAAAAACUGGGACAGUCUUAAUAUGGGGGCUACUGUGAUCAGCUGGCUGAAGAGUUUAUUUCAUUGUGCAGCCUUUUGUGUUUACACAGAGGUUGUAUUUACACAUAUAUGUGAAUAUAUAUGUGUGUGACUGUUCCUGGUUCUCACAGUUUAUAGCCUACAGUUAUUAUCUUAAAAUAAAAAGGAUGAAAGUUUUUUUUCCCACAUGCUGGAUUAUGGGUUGCAGUAGUCAGGAUGUGGUUUAAUACCUGUUUCUCUCACUUGUUUUUCACACAUUACCUUUGGCAAGAGGAUGAAGGUCAGCUGAACAUAGUAACUUCUCAAGCUGCUAUCAUUAACAAAGGUUGAUAAGAUCUUAUUAGAAAUACAAAACUUACAUGGCUUAAAGGAUAUAAAAGUCUGCUUGUCCUUCCUCUUCUUGUUUAUCAUUCACACUGACAUGUUGACAAUUUUUGGAAGGCUAAGUACUUCUAAUACCAGCAGAACUUGGUUACUACCUUUCUCUAAACACAGUUUUGUGUUAACUGUGUUUUAACAACUUCCAUUUAUUACUUUUAAGAUUUCACUUACAUUAAACAUCUUAUAAUUUUACACAAAAUUUUGUAGUAAUAUCUAGGUUCCCAUUUUACAACAGGAUAGAUAAUUAACACUCCAGAAGGGAUGUAUCUGAGGCAUAGAAAGCUUUCUAGAUAGAUAUGGCUGUAGACAUAUGAGCAACUAAUACAUUGGGGAGUAGCAGUCAUAAAUUCUCUUAGAGAAGAGAAACAACAAAACUCAGGAAUAUCAUUUCUCAAGAAGUAGGAACAGGAGACAAUACAAAGGGAUGAGACAGUCCCAUACCUCUUUUUCUGUUUCAUUUACAUCUGUUCUAUAUACAAAGAAGCAAAACUGCUUCCGAGAAGUUCUUAGUGAUACAAAGCAAAACAUUCACAGGUAGGCCAAUAGUCAGAUACAGAAGAAAGAAUAGAACUCACCCAACUGGUGAAAGGGCUCUCUAGCUACUCACCACUACCUCACAGAAAGCAACCCAAGUCCAGGAGACAUUCUCCUGCCAGUGGCUAGCCCUUGUACAGGUCCAGGGUAGCUCCACCCUUGGUCCAGCCCUUCUGGUCACAUGGGGAGCACAGGUGCAAACACUUUGCCUGUAUUACCUAGGCCAGCCACAUCCUUUCACCAGGUGCUCAAUCACAAGUUCCCCUACAACAUUUUGUAAAGACACAGCUGUCAAACACACCUUUCAGAACUGCUGGACCCAGCCCAGCUUUGUAGGCAAUAUAAGAGGCUGUGAGAUAGAACCUCAUUGUGACUUCAAGACGGUUUUUGAUAGCUAUGUAGGUUUCUCUGAAAGUAAUGCUUCCUAUUUAUUUCCAUGUAAACUACAGCAGAUACAAAGAGCACGAUAACACUAUUUGACAGAGCAAAUUCUCAAAUACAAAGCACUAUUUUUCAACAUGGA